GACGAACUGUCCUAACGUUGUUCCGGAAUCACUGGGCUUAAAGGCGCGUAGGCGGUCCGACAAGUCAGGGGUGAAAUCCUGCAGCUCAACUGUAGCAGUGCCUUUGAUACUGUCGGUCUCGAGGGAGAUAGGGGUGUGCGGAACUUCCAGUGGAGCGGUGAAAUGCGUUGAUAUUGGAAGGAACGCCGGUGGCGAAAGCGGCGCACUGGAUCUCUUCUGACGCUGAGGCGCGAAAGCUAGGGGAGCAAACGGGG
rnacentral:rRNA from 1 species